rnacentral:rRNA from 1 species
ACGUAGGGUGCAAGCGUUGUCCGGAUUUAUUGGGCGUAAAGAGCUCGUAGGCGGUCUGUCGCGUCGGAUGUGAAAACUUGGGGCUUAACCCUGAGCUUGCAUUCGAUACGGGCAGACUAGAGGAUUGCAGGGGAGACUGGAAUUCCUGGUGUAGCGGUGGAAUGCGCAGAUAUCAGGAGGAACACCGGUGGCGAAGGCGGGUCUCUGGGCAAUUACUGACGCUGAGGAGCGAAAGCGUGGGGAGCAAACAGG